rnacentral:tRNA from 1 species
ACAGGGGUGUAGUGGUUAGCACUGUCACCUCACAAGAAAAAGGUUGCAGGUUUGAGUCCUGGUCUGGG